UGGGGAAUUUUGGACAAUGGGCGAAAGCCUGAUCCAGCAAUGCCGCGUGUGUGAAGAAGGCCUUCGGGUUGUAAAGCACUUUUGUCCGGAAAGAAAUCCUUGGCUCUAAUACAGUCGGGGGAUGACGGUACCGGAAGAAUAAGCACCGGCUAACUACGUGCCAGCAGCCGCGGUAAUACGUAGGGUGCAAGCGUUAAUCGGAAUUACUGGGCGUAAAGCGUGCGCAGGCGGUUUGCUAAGACCGAUGUGAAAUCCCCGGGCUCAACCUGGGAACUGCAUUGGUGACUGGCAGGCUAGAGUAUGGCAGAGGGGGGUAGAAUUCCACGUGUAGCAGUGAAAUGCGUAGAGAUGUGGAGGAAUACAGAUGGCGAAGGCAGCCCCCUGGGCCAAUACUGACGCUCAUGCACGAAAGCGUGGGGAGCAAACAGGAUUAGAUACCCUGGUAGUCCACGCCCUAAACGAUGUCAACUAGUUGUUGGGGAUUCAUUUCCUUAGUAACGUAGCUAACGCGUGAAGUUGACCGCCUGGGGAGUACGGUCGCAAGAUUAAAACUCAAAUGAAUUGACGGGGUCAUA
rnacentral:rRNA from 1 species